AGGGAAUCUUCGGCAAUGGACGAAAGUCUGACCGAGCAACGCCGCGUGAGUGAAGAAGGUUUUCGGAUCGUAAAACUCUGUUGUUAGAGAAGAACAAGGAUGAGAAGAGAAUGUUCAUCCCUUGACGGUAUCUAACCAGAAAGCCACGGCUAACUACGUGCCAGCAGCCGCGGUAAUACGUAGGUGGCAAGCGUUGUCCAGAUUUAUUGGGCGUAAAGCGAGCGCAGGCGGUUCUUUAAGUCUGAUGUGAAAGCCCCCGGCUUAACCGGGGAGGGUCAUUGGAAACCGGGGAACUUGAGUGCAGAAGAGGAGAGUGGAAUUCCAUGUGUAGCGGUGGAAUGCGUAGAUAUAUGGAGGAACACCAGUGGCGAAGGCGGCUCUCUGGUCUGUAACUGACGCUGAGGCUCGAAAGCGUGGGGAGCAAAC
rnacentral:rRNA from 1 species